CGCGGUUGAUGGUGCUGAGGAUCCGGACAUAGUAGUUGGAGCCGGUGGUGGAGCCGACGAUGGCGUUGUUCUGGUCGACCAUCUCCAUGAACUGUCCGAUGACGAGCGGCACCGACUGGAUCCGCUUCACCUCCUCCUGGGCGCGGAGGUGCUCGCGCUUCAGGUUCUUGAGCUCGUCCUUCACGUACUCCUCCUGGAUCUCGAUGAACUCCAGCUGCCGCUGCAGGGACUUGAGGCGCCCAUAGAGGUCGUCAUCCUCGUCGCCAGGGAGGGAGGAUGAGGGACUCACGGAGGCGGCGAUGCUCGCUGGAGGGGCGGCCGGUGAGGGCUUCGCGUCCACAGCCAUGGCCGCCAUCAGAGACAGCUUCGACGAGAGGCUCUUCC
rnacentral:lncRNA from 1 species